rnacentral:rRNA from 1 species
GAUGAACGUUGGCGGCGUGCCUAAUACAUGCAAGUCGAACGAAGACUGUAGUAAUACUGUCUUAGUGGCGAACGGGUGAGUAACGCGUGGGUGACCUGCCCCGAAGUGUGGGAUAACAGUUCGAAAGGAUUGCUAAUACUGCAUAAUAUCCAAGAGAUUAGACGCUUUUGGAUUAAAGGAGUAAUUCGCUUCGGGAGGGGCCCGCGUCCCAUCAGCUAGUUGGUAAGGUAAUGGCUUACCAAGGCGAUGACGGGUAGGGGACCUGAGAGGGUGGCCCCCCACAAUGGAACUGAAACACGGUCCAUACACCUACGGGUGGCAGCAGUAGGGAAUAUUAGUAAUGGGCGAAAGCCUGAACUAGCAACGCCGCGUGUGCGAAGAAGGCCUUCGGGUUGUAAAGCACUUUUGUAGAGGAUGAGGAAGGACGGGUAACUCUCAGAAUAAAGUACUCGGCUAACUACGUGCCAGCAGCCGCGGUAAAAGUACACGUCG